rnacentral:lncRNA from 1 species
CACAAACCUUUUUUGAGAAACAGGAAAAAAAUUGAAAAAUAAGAACAAUUCUCGAAAUUAUGAAACAUUAUUUCAAAACUUACAUUUUUCUAAAUCCCAUGAAUAUUUUUCGAAUUUGCAAACAAAAUUUGAAAACAUAAUCAUUUUUGAAUUCAUGAACAAAUUUGGAAAGCUAGAACAUUAUUUGAAAUUCCCAACAUUUUUAAAUUUGUGAACAAAUAAAAUUCCCAUACCUUUUUUUGGAUUUCGGUCAAAUUUUCAAACACAUGAAUAGUUUCUAAUUCAUGAACAAAAUUGAAAAUUGGAAACAUUUUCUGAAGUUUCCAAAUUUUUUUUGGAUUUGAGGAAUAUUUUCAAAUGAAUUCAUCUCAUUUUACAUGAAUUAUUAUUUAUGUAUAAAUAAAACCAGAUUUCUAGUUUUCUGAAACUAUUCAUGAGUUUAGGCCUUGUACAAUGCAAGAUGCUUGAAGAAAUAAACCAGACUUUCAUUUAGAACCGGUGCUUAUGUGUACAAGACAUACGCUUAAUUAGGCAUCUCUCCUAUAUAGAAAGGAUUGUACAAGGCCUUGAUGUGCUGCUUGACCUUGGGGGUUAUGGGUGAGUGAUUUUCUUCGUGCGGGACGCGGACAGUCGUCCAUGGUUUUCUUCCGACUUUUUAAGCGCCCGCGCGGGACGCGAGAUGCUCGAUGUACCACCACUUACGGUUUAAUACUAGAUAGAGGCACUUGAAGAAUGAAUUACAGCAGAACAUUUCUAAAAAAACUGACUUCCAAACAUCUACUAUUAGCAAGCAGUGCUCCAAGUUCUUUUGUUAUAAGGGCCACACGACCCACUUCAUUCGUGUGCCACGGACGUGCUCCGCAGUCCACAUCCUAAGGAUGUACAACGCCCAUCCCGCUCCUGCUGUACGGGCAUCUGAUGUGGUAUGGUAGAUCCAUGAGUCGGGGCUCUCGGUAAAAGUAGUUGCUUACAGGAGCACUCUUGUGCUUGUGCGGCCACCGGAGAACCCAGAGAAGAGGGGGCAAACAAAUUCGCCCAAGACUAACAAAAAAACAGCCGACUCCCAUAGAAAACCCUCAAAUGCUGCUUCUAUCUAACGCCCUAGGAGAAAACAGAGGGAUGAACUCAUGCAUAACUACAUGGGCUAGUUCGGUCUUAUCCAUAAGCAUGAUCAUCAAGCUGAACAAAAACAAGGUUCAGCAGGGCAUGCAUCUACAAAUCGUGGUGAAUUUCCACAGCCCUUGCCCGCAGAGCUGAAGUGUUGCCUGCAGAGCAUGCAUCUCGAGAUGGUUUCAAGCCUGUGAAAAUCAAACAUGCAAAAUAUUGUAAGUAGUCAUAGUAGAGGCAUUAUAUGGGAAAAGGAAUGGUAGAAGUUAGUUAAUUAAAGUUGCGACAUCGACUGAAAACCAAAGUUGCAUGGUGG